UACAGAGGUCCCAAGCGUUGUUCGGAUUCAUUGGGCGUAAAGGGUGCGUAGGUGGCGCCGUAAGUCGGGUGUGAAAUUUCGGAGCUUAACUCCGAAACUGCAUUCGAUACUGCGGUGCUUGAGGACUGGAGAGGAGACUGGAAUUCCCGGUGUAGCAGUGAAAUGCGUAGAUAUCGGGAGGAAUACCGAUGGCGAAGGCAGGUCUCUGGGCUGACACUGACGCUCAUGCACGAAAGCGUGGGGAGCAAACAGG
rnacentral:rRNA from 1 species